AGCAGCCGCGGUAAUUCCAGCUCCAAUAGCGUAUAUUAAAGUUGCUGCAGUUAAAAAGCUCGUAGUUGAAUUUCGGGACUAAUAUGUCGGUCGUGCCUCGGUACGUACUGGUAUUUUUGGUUUCUCCCUUCUGACGAACCUUGAUGUCAUUAAUUUGGUGUCUUGGGAAAUCAGGACUGUUACUUUGAAAAAAUUAGAGUGUUUAAAGCAGGCUCACGCUUGAAUACAUUAGCAUGGAAUAAUGAAAUAGGACGUUUGAUUCUAUUUUGUUGGUUUCUAGGAUCGACGUAAUGAUUAAUAGGGAUAGUUGGGGGCAUUAGUAUUCAAUUGUCAGAGGUGAAAUUCUUGGAUUUAUUGAAGACUAACUACUGCGAAAGCAUUUGCCAAGGAUGUUUUCAUUAAUCAAGAACGAAAGUUAGGGGAUCGAAGACGAUCAGAUACCGUCGUAGUCUUAACCAUAAACUAUGCCGACUAGGGAUCGGAUGAUGUUAAUUUUUUUAAUGACUCAUUCGGCGCCUUA
rnacentral:rRNA from 1 species